GACGAACGCUGGCGGCGUGCCUAACACAUGCAAGUCGAGCGAUCGGCCCGGGAGGGGCAACCCACCCGGGUACGGAGCGGCGAACGGGUGAGUAACACGUGGGUAACCUGCCCCAGGCACCGGAAUAACCCCCGGAAACGGGGGCUAAUGCCGGAUACUCUCCCCGGGUCGCAUGGCCCGAGGAGGAAAGCUCUGGCGGCCUGGGAUGGGCCCGCGGCCUAUCAGCUUGUUGGUGGGGUAACGGCCCACCAAGGCGAUGACGGGUAGCUGGCGUGAG
rnacentral:rRNA from 1 species